rnacentral:rRNA from 1 species
GACGAACGCUGGCGGCGUGCUUAACACAUGCAAGUCGAACGGUGAAGCGCCUUCCUUUUUGGUGGGUGUGGAUGAGUGGCGAACGGGUGAGUAACACGUGAGUAACCUGCCCCCUUCUUCUGGAUAACCGCAUGAAAGUGUGGCUAAUACGGGAUAUUCUGGGUCUGUCGCAUGAUGGGUCUGGGAAAGAUAUUGUUUCGGUGGGGGAUUGGCUCGCGGCCUAUCAGGUUGUUGGUGGGGUGAUGGCCUACCGAGGCGGUGACGGGUAGCCGGCCUGGGAGGGUGGACGGUCACGUUGGGAAUGAGACACGGCCCAGACGCCUACGGGAGGCAGCAGUGGUGAAUAUGGCACAAUGGGGGGAAGCCUGAUGCAGCGUCGGCGCAUGAGUGAUGGAGGCCUUCGGGUUGUGAACCUCUUUCGCCAGGGUAGCAGGGCUGCCUCGUUUGUGAGGGGAUUGACGGUAGCUGGAUAAGAAGCGCCGGCUAACUACGUG